rnacentral:rRNA from 1 species
AUGCAUAAGCUCGUAAAUGUUCAUUAUUUGGACAAGUCGACAUUUAUGCUUGGAAAUGACGAUGAAGGGGAAGAGGCUAUGUUUUUUGACACAAGUCCAAGCUUUGAUGAUCUUGUAGUUAAAGUGAGAAGCGUUUUACAUUGGAAUGACUCAAAUGCCGUGGUUAAGCUUAUUGGGAGGUAUGACGUUGGAUUGUGAGUAAAGUCCCGAUUAAAGAGUAUGCCCAUCACCUCCCAAUUACAUUGGAAUGUGUACAAGGAAAAAGUAGACGCAUCACAAGACAAGUCUCUUGAGAUCUUUGCCACAAAGGUUGAUCCUCCUCCUCCUUUGCAAAUUGAUCUCAACCUCAAUGCAUCCUCCCCCAUACAUGAUGAUAGUGCCGAGGUGUAUGUCCCCAAUUGUUCUAGCCAACCACCAAGUAGCCAACCCAAUGAAGAUCAUAUCAAUGCUAGCGCCAUAGUACUCCGUCAUGAUGCUAUUCCUCAUGUUGAAGAAGAUGCUAUUCCUCAUGUCGAAGAAGAUGUUAGUGGUCAUGUUGAUGAUGAUGCUAUUGUUGCUCAAGAGGAUGCUUACUCGGAGAAUGAAGAGAUCCAUUACAAUCCAAUUGGUAACUUGGAUGUCAUUGUGCGGCAACAAGACAUGGACCGUUGA